UACAGAGGGGGCCAGCGUUAUUCGGAAUUAUUGGGCGUAAAGGGCGCGUAGGCGGCCAUGCGUGUCUUCCGUGAAAUCCCUCGGCUCAACCGAGGACGUGCGGAAGAAACUGCAAGGCUCGAGUCCGGAAGAGGGGGGCGGAAUUCCCAGUGUAGCGGUGAAAUGCGUAGAUAUUGGGAGGAACACCAGUGGCGAAGGCGGUCCCCUGGGCCGGAACUGACGCUGAUGCGCGAAAGCGUGGGGAGCAAACGGG
rnacentral:rRNA from 1 species